CAGCCGCCGCGGUAAUACGUAGGUGGCAAGCGUUGUCCGGAGUUAUUGGGCGUAAAGGGCUCGCAGGCGGUUUCUUAAGUCUGAUGUGAAAGCCCCCGGCUCAACCGGGGAGGGUCAUUGGAAACUGGGAAACUUGAGUGCAGAAGAGGAGAGUGGAAUUCCACGCGUAGCGGUGAAAUGCGUAGAGAUGUGGAGGAACACCAGUGGCGAAGGCGACUCUCUGGUCUGUAACUGACGCUGAGGAGCGAAAGCGUGGGGAGCGAACAGGAUUAGAGACCCGUGUAGUCCCUGUCUCUUAUAC
rnacentral:rRNA from 1 species